ACAUACGACCAUAGGAAGUGGAAAAUAGGGCUUCCCGUCCGCUCAGCCGUACUCAAGCCACUUGCCGGUCAGUUAGUAGUAUGGUGGGUGACCACAUGCGAAUCCUGACUGUUGUAUGUU
rfam:Aspergillus rambellii strain SRRC1468 contig00014, whole genome shotgun sequence.